rnacentral:rRNA from 1 species
CGCCUUGCCAGCCCGCUCAGAAACUCAAAUGAAUUGACGGGGGCCCGCACAAGCGGUGGAGUAUGUGGUUUAAUUCGAUGCAACGCGAAGAACCUUACCUGGUCUUGACAUCCCGGAGACCCUUAGGAAACUAGGGGGUGCUUCCAUCUGGAAGAAUCUGGAGACAGGUGCUGCAUGGCUGUCGUCAGCUCGUGUCGUGAGAUGUUGGGUUAAGUCCCGCAACGAGCGCAACCCUCGUCCUUAGUUGCCAGCAUUCAGUUGGGCACUCUAAGGAGACUGCCGGUGUUAAACCGGAGGAAGGCGGGGAUGACGUCAAGUCCUCAUGGCCCUUAUGUCCAGGGCUACACACGUGCUACAAUGGCCGGUACAAAGGGUAGCAAGACCGCGAGGUGGAGCCAAUCCCAAAAAGCCGGUCUCAGUUCGGAUUGGAGUCUGCAACUCGACUCCAUGAAGUUGGAAUCGCUAGUAAUCGUGGAUCAGCAUGCCACGGUGAAUACGUUCCCGGGCCUC